rnacentral:rRNA from 1 species
UACAGAGGUGGCAAGCGUUGUUCGGAAUUACUGGGCGUAAAGCGAACGUAGGCGGACCGCUAAGUCGGAUGUGAAAGCCCUCGGCUUAACCGAGGAAGUGCAUUCGAAACUGACAGUCUUGAGUAUGGAAGAGGGUCGCGGAAUUCCCGGUGUAGAGGUGAAAUUCGUAGAUAUCGGGAGGAACACCAGUGGCGAAGGCGGCGACCUGGGCCAAUACUGACGCUGAGGUGCGAAAGCGUGGGGAGCAAACAGG